rnacentral:rRNA from 1 species
UACGGAGGGGACUAGCGUUGUUCGGAAUUACUGGGCGUAAAGCGCACGUAGGCGGAUUUGUAAGUCAGGGGUGAAAUCCCGGGGCUCAACCUCGGAACUGCCUUUGAUACUGCAAAUCUCGAGUCCGGAAGAGGUGAGUGGAAUUCCUAGUGUAGAGGUGAAAUGCGUAGAUAUUGGGAGGAACACCAGUGGCGAAGGCGGCUCACUGGACCGGUACUGACGCUGAGGCGCGAAAGCGUGGGGAGCAAACGGG